UGUGACUCAAGCGGGUGGCCUAACACAUGCAGUCGAGGGGUAACGGCAGUAGCUUGCUACUAGACGACGACCGGCGCACGGGUGAGUAACGCGUAUGUAAUCUGCCUUGUACAGAGGGAUAGCCCAGAGAAAUUUGGAUUAAUACCUCAUAGUAUUACUGAAUCGCAUGAUUCGGUAAUUAAAGCUCCGGCGGUACAAGAUGAACAUGCGUGACAUUAGCUAGUUGGUAAGGUAACGGCUUACCAAGGCCACGAUGUCUAGGGGUUCUGAGAGGAUGAUCCCCCACACUGGUACUGAGACACGGACCAGACUCCUACGGGAGGCAGCAGUGAGGAAUAUUGGUCAAUGGACGCAAGUCUGAACCAGCCAUCCCGCGUGAAGGAUGACUGCCCUAUGGGUUGUAAACUUCUUUUAUAUGCAAAUAAACCUACUUUCGUGAAAGUAGCUGAAGGUAGCAUAUGAAUAAACACCGGCUAACUCCGUGCCAGCAGCCGCGGUAAUACGGAGGGUGUAAGCGUUAUCCGGAUUUAUUGGGUUUAAAGGGUACGUAGGCGGUAAUAUAAGUCAGUGGUGAAAUCCUGCAGCUCAACUGUAGAACUGCCAUUGAAACUGUAUUACUUGAGUAUACUUGAGGUAGGCGGAAUGAGUAGUGUAGCGGUGAAAUGCUUAGAUAUUACUCAGACACCGAUUGCGAAGGCAGCUUACUAAGGUAUAACUGACGCUGAUGUACGAAAGCGUGGGGAGCGAACAGGAUUAGAUACCCUGGUAGUCCACGCCGUAAACGAUGAUUACUCGCUGUUGGCGAUACACAGUCAGUGGCUAAGCGAAAGUUUUAAGUAAUCCACCUGGGGAGUACGCUCGCAAGAGUGAAACUCAAAGGAAAUUGACGG
rnacentral:rRNA from 1 species